rnacentral:rRNA from 1 species
CCUACGGGAGGCAGCAGUGGGGAAUAUUGCACAAUGGGGGGAACCCUGAUGCAGCGACGCCGCGUGGGUGAAGGAGUGCUUCGGCAUGUAAAGCCCUAUCGGCAGGGAAGAAGCAAGACGGUACCUUACUAAUAAGCCCCGGCUAACUACGUGCCCGCAGCCGCGGUAAUACGUAGGGGGCGAGCGUUAUCCGGAUUUACUGGGUGUAAAGGGAGCGUAGACGGCCAUGCAAGUCAGAGGUGAAAGCCCGGGGCCCAACCCUGGGACUGCCUUUGAAACUGGAUGGCUGGAGUGCGGGAGGGGUAGGUGGAAUUCGUGGUGUAGCGGUGAAAUGCGUAGAUAUCAGGAGGAACACCGGUGGCGAAGGCGGCUUGCUGGACCGCGACUGACGUUGAGGCUCGAAAGCGUGGGGAGCGAACAGGAUUAGAUACCCUUGUAGUC